UCUUUCCGAUAUCAAUCGGUUGUUCAUAAUUUGUUGUCCAACUCCCGUACAAGAUUUAUCCUAUGUAGAAUUUCUUAGGAACACACAAAGAUACAAACCAUUCUGUUUGAAUAGAUGAACAUAGACAUUCAGUAACUAAUUAAAUAGAUCCAUAAUUUCGCAGGAACCAGAGGAGGGAGAUAGACUCAGCAUGCUGACGGAUGACAUUUUACUGUCCAUCAUGGGGAGAGUCGAUCUAAGCACAGCUGCAAGGACGAGUGCGUUGUCUACACGGUGGAGGCGCCUUCCUUGGUUGCUGCCCGAGCUCAACGUUGAUGCCAAAAAUUUCCUGCCAAUUCAACACCCUAACGGCAUCGAAGGGAACGAUAUGGAGGAAGCUAUGGCAUCUCUAACCGAGGCAACAAGGAGCUUCUUGGUUAACCGGCAAGGAGAAAUGUCCUUUAUCGAAAAAAAACCGGCAAGGAGAAUCCAGGAUCUCAACUCUGCACCUUAAGAUCUAUCUGAUCAACAAUUUCUUGUGCAAAGUUGGCCCACUAGUAGGCGACGCAAUCGAGAGUGGUUUGGUGAAAGAUUUGGGUCUCUCCAUUCUUGGUAAGACAGAUCUUUCGCACUGUACUAAGGAGGAUAUGCUACACCGAGCCCAAGCAAUAGAUGGUUUUUUCAGUGCCUACCCAAGUGUGCUCAGUUGCCUCAAAAGACUUUAUCUACACAGUGUAGGCUUUGACAACUUGGACAUGCACCAUGUCGUGUUUGACUGCUGCAAGCAACUGAAGCAUCUAACCCUUGAUAAUUGUGAUACUAUUGCCAGCUCUCUGUUUAAGACUGAUGCACCCAAUUCAAAACUCCGUUUUCUAGAAAUCAUCUGUUGUGGUUUUGAGAGACUUGAAUUGGUCUGCCUUCCGAAACUGGAGACGCUCGAAUGUGAGACUUGGACAUCGGUGCAUGCCCCUUUGGCCUUUGGUUUCGUCCCAUCUCUUGGAGAACUAGGACUCUUAGAUGGUGCACAACAUUGCCAACAUGAAUUUAAAUUAAGUGAGCUUCUACAUGGAACCACAAGCAUACACACUCUCACAUUGGAUUUCCAAGGAGAAAAUAUUUGGAUGCAACAUGAAAUGAAGCAACUCAUCCCCGCAUUCAGUAAGCUAAGGAAGCUGUGUCUGUGCGUGGUAUCUUUGUUGAAUUCGACCUUUUAUGGACGGCAACAUUUCUUUUGGCGGCACAAUGCAUGGAAAUAUUACAUAUCGAGGUGAUGUCUCAACAUUUAGGGCUUAUUGUAGUUCUUCAUAUAUUUUGGAGCAAAGAUGUUUAAAACUUACAUAUGUAUUGAAUUGGUCGCACAAACACAGGUAUGGGAACAUAUAUGUGAUGACAAGUCGAGACAGUUGUAUGCCGAAAGAAGGACUCCUCCGUGGGAGAUGCACUUUGAUGGCUCCAAGAACUGGCAUUUGAAAGAGCUAGAAUUCACUGGCUUUAGAUCACUAGAACAACAAUUUAAGUUUAUAAGGCUCGUGCUGGAGCGAGCUCCGAAUUUGCAGACGAUAAUUCUGAAAGGAGAUGAGCGAUGUGAGUACUACGAUGCUCUUGAUACACCACAUACUUCGAAAUUUCCGAAGAAGAAGGAUGAGCAAGAACUGGCGGUUAGACGAAUUCGAGGUGACUUUUUCUCGCCACGAAUAAUUUUCAACGAAUAAGGAGUUGUAAGAAACUAGUCAGAGAGGGCAUAUCUCAGUCGAUAUAAUAUUUGAUAUUUAUAACUAUUAAGAAGCA